AUACGGAAGGUCCGGGCGUUAUCCGGAUUUAUUGGGUUUAAAGGGAGCGCAGGCGGAGAUGCAAGCGUGACGUCAAAUUUCGGGGCUCAACCCCGUCUCGCGUCGCGAACUGCGUCCCUUGGUUGCGGGAAGGGGAGGCGGAACUCGUGGUGUAGCGGUGAAAUGCAUAGAUAUCACGAAGAACUCCGAUCGCGAAGGCAGCCUUCCGGCCCGUCAACGACGCUCAUGCUCGAAGGUGCGGGUAUCAAACAGGAUUAGAUACCCUGGUAGUCCGCACAGUAAACGAUGGACACCCGCGGUUUGGCCUAUAUGGCUGAGCCGCCAAGCGAAAGCGUUAAGUGUCCCACCUGGGGAGUACGCCGGCAACGGUGAAACUCAAAUGAAUCGACGGGG
rnacentral:rRNA from 1 species